GCGCUUGCUUUGGAGCACAUAUAAAAGUUGUAUACAGAGGAGAUUAGCACAGCCGCUGUGUAAGGAUGACGUGCAGCCUCUGUGUAAGGAUGACAUGCAGGUUCUUGAAGCAACAAGAGAAAAUAUUU
rnacentral:snRNA from 1 species